UGAAAUUAGUUGAAACAGGUGCAGCAAUAGGGCAGAGCACAUCUGAUCUUCUCCAGGACAGCCAAAGCAGAAACUUCCCUUGUGGAGAAUCCACUUCUCAGGGUGAAUCUGAUGAUUCUUCUCAUUUGAUCUCUAACAAACAAAGGAAACACCCCACAACAAAACCAACCCAAAUUUUUCUGUCCUUUUCUCUCUUUAAGAAUAAUUGUGAGGUCUAAGUAUGGCUCAGGGGGAUGGGAUGUGCCUUGUGCAACUGAAGGAGCUUUAUGCAGCUCCAUUCAUCUCAGUUAUGCUGCAUUUUUCUUUCAGAGUUCUUCCCAAAGAAGGAAGGGGACCUGAGUCAUUACAAAUGCUGUCUGACUGGCAGGAAAUUUCUUCUAGAAAACACAUGAUUUCAAUAAUGAGAACUCUUACAAAAUGUCUAUUAAAAAAAAAAAGGAAAAGAAAAAGAAAAAAAUAACGCAUCAAACAAAAGCAAAAAUGCCUGACCAAAAGCAGUGACAAGAAGCUCCAUUGGUUCUUCUGGAAAUGCUGCUCUGCUCCAGGGUUUGUGGCCAUCGUUUAUGGGAAUUGCAUCUGGGAGUUUGCUGCCCCUCAGCUCUCCCUCCUGGCGUUUCUGAGAGCAGCAGGGCCACUGCCAGUGAUGAGCAGAGGUGGCCAGAGAGGGAAUUGUGUGUCCAUGGAAGGAGCAGCCAUUGGAUGGACAGAGCCUGGGGGGAACACGGGCACAAAUCCUGCCACUGCUGGGAAGGGUGUUUCAACUUCACUAAAACUUCCAGGUGGGCACGUGAAGCUUUUGCAUGCCAGGAUUUUAUGUUGUGAACAGGACGCGUGACAUCUGUGAGCAAGCUGGAUGUGCUUGAGAAACAAAG